UGCCGGUUAAAAAUAUGUUUACAAUACAUGUUAAAAGCCUCUUUCCCCACUUGUGAUGACGAUACAAAUAGACUGACAGCAGAAAAUAGAAUAGGCCAGUAGGACUGUUUCUCAUUUUUGUUAACCCAUAGAAAAUCCCUAACGGUUGCCUGCAUCCCGGGGUAGCUGGAGGGUAUGUCCGAUUCGCACGGACAAUACCUCUGGGGUGUUCCUUCGCUCGCCUGGGGCGGGAUCACGGGGACGCUAAGCCCUUCCGCGAUCCCGUCCGAUCGCGAUCGCGAUGCCCAAUUUGGGCCCGUCACCAUAAGCGACCUCCGAAAGGCUUCCUCAAGCACUAAGUUUCCAUCCCUCCUCGAGACUGUGAAAUGCGGAUCGCUUGGUCUAUCGCCCGCAGGACUGUUUCCCCCUAAUUAAUAAGCUGUAACUUUACCAUUAAUAUAUAUAUAUAUAUAUAUAUAUAUAUAUAUAGAUAGAUAGAUAGAUAUAUAUAUAUAUGCGAAGGGAAAUAUAGUACAAUUCGGUGGUAAAAAAGAAUAAUGAAUCAAAAACUUUUUACUGAUACUGUUAUCCGUGAAAUAGCGUUAUCCACAAAUGGUGGAACAGACCCUAAUAUCCAUUUAACAUAAUUUAGUAAAAAAAAAUGCAAACGCUUUAUCUAAAUAGUCUUGUUACAGUGUCCAUAAGCUGGCUAAAUAAAAAAGCGAAGUAAUGUGAACUAGUUCAGUGAUUUAGUUUUUAGAAAUUAGAAGACAAAUAGUAACGAUUGAUUACAGUACAACAAUAUGAUCAAUAUUCAGUUCUAAAAGACAGUUGAGGUAGAAAAAAUUUUUUUUUUUUUUUUACUUGAGAGCUUGAGCGUCUUCACAAUUUGAGUUAUUAAAUCAAACCAGUUAUAUAUUGCAUCAUUUGCGUACCAUUUUUAAGCUAAAUACAAAAAAUCGGUCAAAUAAAAGCCGUAGAAAGCACAAUAUAGAUUUACUACAGAAGUUAAACUACUUACAUCUAUUUGACUGAUUUUUGUGUAUAUGGCUUAAAAAUGUUAUGCGGUACAUUGUAUCUACUUUCUAUGUAUCAUUUACAUGAGAAUUUGUUAUCAAUAUUAUUGACUUAAAAACUUUAACCUUAGUGUAAAAAUUAAAAUAAAAAGUCAAGUCAAAUUAUGAAUGUGCUUUUUGGUAUUACGUAGAGUUUAGUAAUCGAAAAUAAUAUAUAUUUAUGUAAUGUGUUUGAUGUAAAUUAUUCGAUAUUCGAUGUUUUUCAAAUUGUUAAAAUGUUGAUAUCUUAGAAAUAUACAGACAUUACAGACUUUCUCAAA